CCCUUAGAUGUCCUGGGCCGCACGCGUGCUACACUGACGCCUACAGCGAGUACUUCCCAGCCCCGAGAGGCGGCUGGUAAUCAGCAAUAGGCGUCGUGAUGGGGAUAGAUCUUUGGAAUUCUGGAUCUUGAACGAGGAAUGUCUAGUAAGCGCAGGUCAUUAGCCUGCGCUGAUUACGCCCCUGCCCUUUGUACACACCGCCCGUCGCUCCUACCGAUUUCGAGUGGUCCGGUGAAUCUUUCGGACUGCGCGCAGCUUCGUGCCGUGUCGCGGAAAGUCAGGUAAACCUAAUCACUUAGAGGAAGGACAAGUCGUAACA
rnacentral:rRNA from 1 species